rnacentral:rRNA from 1 species
UAGGAUUCCCUCAGUACGGGCGACGGAAGCGGGAAAAGCCCACAUUGGUAAUCUCCGGGCCUGGGCUCGGCGAAUUGUAAUCUGAAGAUCGCUAGUCUAACUGGAUCAGGCGUCAAAGUGCGCACGAGCGCGCCGCCAUAGAGGGUGAGAGCCCCGUACGACGCAGGAUCCUACCAAGGCUGGUGUUCGAAGAGUCGUGUACUUUGAUACUAGUGCACUAAGCGGGAGAUAAACUUCUUCUAAGGCUAAAUAUAAGUAGGAAACCGAUAGCGAACAAGUACUGUGAAGGAAAGAUGAAAAGCACUUUGGAAAGAAAGUUAAAAGACUUGAAAUCGUUGAGGCGGACCCGGUAGAAAUGUAUUCUAGCGAAGCGCUCUGGGAAGCCUCUACGGGGGCCACUUGAGCGCUAGCCGAGACAAGAUGGAGUCGUUUGAUGCCAGAGGCUGUGUGCGAGCGCGCUUGCGUGAGCGUAUGCUAGUCGGGUGUCAGGCGGCUUGAGGGGCCUUGAGCGAUCUUGUCAAAAUGGUUUUUACCGACUCGUCUUGAAACACGAACCAAGGAGUCUAAGACUAACGCGAGUAUGGUGGUGGAGAAACCAACAUGCGAAAUGAAAGUAAAUGAUGCCAAGCUCCCUGCAGCAUCGACCGACUUUUUUCUCUUGGAAGAGGUUUGAGUAAGAGCGUUAUUCUUAGGACCCGAAAGAUGGUGAAACUAU